AAACGCAUACCCGCUUAACUUAAAACCUUUCUGUAUAGCCGAAAAUACACAAAUAUACACCCUACAUUCUAAUACCCUAGGACCUAAAAGUCAGACCCUCGACUAAAGGUGCCCUAGAGCUAAAAAACGGAGCUCCGUUUUAUAAAAGGGCACCCCACCCCCUGACCUCAUCUUCUUUAUGACCCCUCAUCCACCCACCAGUAGCCGCCACCGGACCUCUCUCUCCAAUACCUUCAUCGGCCACACCUUCCUUCACCAGAGAACCGGUCAUCCCCCAUUUUUCUGAGAGAUUUCAUCCUUUUAAAUUAGAAAGGACAACCUUCCCCUCCAUCUCUCGGGUGUCACUGUCGCCGCUCCUUCCGCUGCCUGCUGGAAUUGAUCACCAGCAAUGGAAGGCGACUUCCAUGACUACCUCACUCCUUAUCUCAUUCACUCCCAAAAAAGAAGAUAGACGAGAUGACCCCUCCCGCUCCUAAACAAAAGAACCCUAGUAGUUGUAUCUUCUCAUUCUUCACCCUCUCAAAACCACAUAUACAUGCCUAAACUUCUAGUAACAGUUAAAAAGUGUAGAGUUCAGAUAUGGAAUUCAGUGUCACAAAGAUGAGUUCAAUCUUAGUUAAUUUUUAAAUUUUUGGGUAAUUGUCGAGUUUAAUAGAAAUGUAAAUUAUUUCGAGUUGGGAAGGUCAAUUUAAACUCAUAUUGCUGUUGAUUCUACUGAAUUGUUUUUUAAAUUUGUGGGCUGCUUGUUCGGUCGAGCUCCAAUUUUCAUCACUUAGUUUUUCUUUUGUUUCUUCUGAGCUGAUUCUUGCAAAAUCAGUUGUUGUUCGAGUUCCGAAAAUUCGUUCGAGGUAGGAGAUUCCCGGCGAGGUUGCCGGACGGAUUUGGUUUCCGUCGAGUUUGUUGUUGAGAUUUGCGAGUCCAAUUUGGUCCGAAUUUGCUGUCCAUUUGGCUUUGGGAUUGUAUUGAGAGGCAUAAUCAUGAAUAAAACUUCAAAAGAAAAUUUGGUAAAAGGUUUAUUUUUAUUAUUCUUCACUAUGAUUGUCAUCAAUUUCAUCUUUAAGUUGUUUCAAUGUGCUGUAAUUCAAAACAUGAUUAUUGAUAUUCUAUUCUCUCGAUUAGUUAUUUCGCU
rnacentral:lncRNA from 1 species